rnacentral:lncRNA from 1 species
ACAAAACAGAGGAUGGUUAUCUGCAGUCGAAUUUAACUUCUCAAUGCAGGGAUCAACUUUCGUAGGAAUAACACUAUUAAAAACUAUCAAUAAACUCCCCAAGUAAAUAUAUCUAGAAAUAGACGUAUAUAUCUGGAAAUAAUACAUUUAUUUACUUCAUACUUAUUUGUCAAAACAGGAAGGGUAGCCCGGUGCACUAAGCUCCCGCUAUGCGCGGGGUCGGGGAAGGGCCGGACCAUAAGAGUCUAUUGUACGCAGUCUUGCCCUACAUUUCUACAAGAGGCUGUUUCCACGGCUCGAACCCGUGACCUCCUGGUCACAUGGCAACAAUUUUACCGGUUACGCCAAGGCUCCCCUUCAUUUAUCAAAACACACUAAAAAUUACAAAAAAAAACUGCAGUGCUUAAGCAGCUGCAGCACAAAAGCAAAAAAGAAGAAAGAGGAGUUCGAGUACACACCAGACUUCAUGGUUUGCAUCAGCUGGUAAAGUCUGGAGAAUUCUCAAAAGCUGUGAAGCAAACAUCAAAGUAGCCAGGAAGAAACACAACUCCGAAACCUGUGUCAAUAUAAAUUUCAAGAUUAUUUUUAAGAACAUUGGCUGAAAUCUCCUGCAACUUCCCAGAAUCAGAGUAAAUUUUAGCACAUGCCCAGCAGAAGUUUGAAGAGUAUUACUUAACAGGUUUGAGAUACCACUAUCCAAUAUAAAUCAACCUUUGAAGUUUAAUGACCCGUUUAGUGGUGGAUCUAGAGAAGGGGAGCCUAAGCGUAACUGAUAAAGUUGCUGCCAUGUGACCAUGAGAUCACAAGUUCAAGCCGUGAAAAUAGUUUCUCGUAGAAAUGCCGGUAAGGCUGCGUACAAUAGAUACUUGUGGUCCAGCCUUUUUCCGGACCCCACGCAUAGCGGAAGCUUAGUAUAGCGGGUUGACUUUUUUUUUUAAUUGGUGGAUGUAGACCAGACGCAACGAGUUCAACAAAACCCACUGCAUGUAGUAUGAACUAUGUGUGUGUGAAGAAAAUAUUGGCACAUAUAUAAAGAAUAGAACCCCACUAACUAUAAAUCCUGAAUUCGCCGCUGGACUUGCUUACGGUGAAUUGAUAAAUAAUUAAACACAACUAGAAGAAAGUUCAAAUUAAAUAAAAAAUCAGUUCAAACCCAUGGCCAGAAAACAGGUAAGGCUCAUACUUGUAUGCUACUCAUAAGUUAACAUUCUCUUCAACAUAGGAUUCUCACUUUUUCCAGAAACUCAAAGAAACCAAAAGGUGCUAAAUCAUCUCAAUCAUAAGAUGCCCAUAAUUUAAAAUAAAACAAAGUGCAAGUCAGACCUCAUCUUUAUUUUAUCUUUCUGUGACUUUCUUUUCAUUUAAUUUUUUUUUCCUGUCAAUAAAAUAGUGAAUUUAUGUUUAAAUUGCCAAAACCACCAGGAAUCUUAACUUUGUCCACUUUUGAAGAAAAAGACAAGAAAUGAUCACCCUUUUGAAAAUUUGUACAAAGCUCAAAUGAGUACAUAAUUAAAGAUCAAUCUCCACCAUCCAUUUUGUUCUUUAGCUAAAUUACAUAAUCAUUUCUAACUAGAUCUAUAUUCUGAUUGUUUAAUAACAAAAUCUCUUCAUAAAAAGUUAAAAAAAUUAAAAAGAAAAAGAUUUCUUCACAAUGAUACAUUCUGACAGGUUGUCAUGGGAUCCCAAGAAAAUUCACAAUCUCAUCUCAUAAUCCAUAAAAAAGAAUUACAUCUUAAUUAUUUAAUCAAAUGAUUAGCAUAAAACUUUACCUGGCUAAAAGUGGAUCAAAAGAAUUUUCCUCUUUAUCCCUUUAGUACAAAGUUCUGCUUCUGGGUUCCACUGCAAAACAUUAAAAAGCACCAAAUUUCAUCAGAUUAAACACAACCUUACUACUUCAAAAAACUAAAAAAAAAACAACAUGAAAUCCGAGAAAAAAAAUCCAAUCUUUGCCAUGGAAAUUGAAAAUCCAACAGCAGAAUCAAACUAAAUAUGAAGAAUAAUCCCAAAAUUUUACACAUAUAAAAGUAGCAAAUUUCAUCAAAUUAUAGAAAUAAAACUUAGUACUUCAAAAAAAAUCUUAAGGAAUAAUGAAAUAGGAGUAAAAAUCAAAUCUUUGCCAAGAAAAUUAAAAAACCCAAUUGCAGAAUCAAGCUAAAUAAGCAGAUCAAUCCAAAGAUUAUAAAAACAAUCUCCAAAAACACAACAAAUUCGAAAAAUCUAAAAAAAAAACCUUAAUUUGUCUUGUUGUGAAGAAGAAGAAUAGGGAUGAGAUAAAGUCGGACAAUUAAUAUACACUCAACUUAUAAAACGACAAAGAUCAUGCCGUUUUAAUUUGCUUCUUUGAGGAAAUAUAGAAAGAGAGAAACUGUAUGUGAAGUUAGAAAACGCAAUGAACGUGAAUGAAAAGAGAGAGUGGGAAGCCAGCAAACAUUAACACAGGCUGUGUUACACAGCUACACAAAUUUACAUAUAAGGUCAACUCUUUCUCUCUGNNNNNNNNNNNNNNNNNNNNNNNNNUAUAUAUAUAUAUAUCUGAAAAAUACGGUGUGCAAUUAAUGUAAGGAUACUUAUCUUGUAUAAUGGUGUACGUGAAAAAGAGAGAACAGUUGGUGGUGGUCAUAACUGAUAAAGGUGCAGAGCACGAAGAGGAGCUUAUAAAAAGGCAUUUAAUUAUUGUUGUACACUCUAUACAUAAAGUGGGAAAAGGGAAAGAAAAAAACAAAAAGAAAAGAAUAUAUAUUUAUAUAUUCGAAAGGGGCGGCAGAGUUACCGGAAAAACAGAUCAGCCGAUUCACUACUCCGGGGACAGAGCAGUAUUAAAUCAAAGGAAUCAGAUCCAUAACUAAUACUGUCGUAAUAAAAACUGUAAUCUAAAAAACAGAGAGGGGUGGUGGGGGUUCUGACAAUGGAAUCGGGGGAUAUAUAAAUGAAGUGGAGAAGAAUGGAAGAGCUGACUUUGUUUUAUUUUUAUGGAGAGAAAAAGGACAAGAGAUGGUCAAAAAGGUAGGUGAAUUGGAUUUAAGCUGUUUGGUUUGGAUUUCUCACAUUUUUGUUUGUCUUCCCUUAUAUUUUCAUUAAAA